GAUGAACGCUGGCGGCGUGCCUAAUACAUGCAAGUCGAGCGAACAGACGAGGAGCUUGCUCCUUUGACGUUAGCGGCGGACGGGUGAGUAACACGUGGGUAACCUACCUGUAAGACUGGGAUAACUUCGGGAAACCGGAGCUAAUACCGGAUAAUAUUUCGAACCGCAUGGUUCGAUAGUGAAAGAUGGCUCUGCUAUCACUUAUAGAUGGACCUGCGCCGUAUUAGCUAGUUGGUAAGGUAACGGCUUACCAAGGCAACGAUACGUAGCCGACCUGAGAGGGUGAUCGGCCACACUGGAACUGAGACACGGUCCAGACUCCUACGGGAGGCAGCAGUAGGGAAUCUUCCGCAAUGGGCGAAAGCCUGACGGAGCAACGCCGCGUGAGUGAUGAAGGUCUUCGGAUCGUAAAACUCUGUUAUUAGGGAAGAACAAACGUGUAAGUAACUGUGCACGUCUUGACGGUACCUAAUCAGAAAGCCACGGCUAACUACGUG
rnacentral:rRNA from 1 species